CGGCAGCAUGAUCUAGCUUGCUAGAUUGAUGGCGAGUGGCGAACGGGUGAGUAAUACAUCGGAACGUGCCCUGUAGUGGGGGAUAACUAGUCGAAAGAUUAGCUAAUACCGCAUACGACCUGAGGGUGAAAGUGGGGGACCGCAAGGCCUCAUGCUAUAGGAGCGGCCGAUGUCUGAUUAGCUAGUUGGUGGGGUAAAGGCCCACCAAGGCGACGAUCAGUAGCUGGUCUGAGAGGACGAUCAGCCACACUGGGACUGAGACACGGCCCAGACUCCUACGGGAGGCAGCAGUGGGGAAUUUUGGACAAUGGGGGCAACCCUGAUCCAGCAAUGCCGCGUGUGUGAAGAAGGCCUUCGGGUUGUAAAGCACUUUUGUCCGGAAAGAAAUCGCACUUACUAAUAUUAGGUGUGGAUGACGGUACCGGAAGAAUAAGGACCGGCUAACUACGUGCCAGCAGCCGCGGUAAUACGUAGGGUCCAAGCGUUAAUCGGAAUUACUGGGCGUAAAGCGUGCGCAGGCGGUUGUGCAAGACCGAUGUGAAAUCCCCGGGCUUAACCUGGGAAUUGCAUUGGUGACUGCACGGCUAGAGUGUGUCAGAGGGGGGUAGAAUUCCACGUGUAGCAGUGAAAUGCGUAGAGAUGUGGAGGAAUACCGAUGGCGAAGGCAGCCCCCUGGGAUAACACUGACGCUCAUGCACGAAAGCGU
rnacentral:rRNA from 1 species